CAGAACGGAGUAACGGUCUGUGAUUCAUUAUGUGAGUGCUCCAACAGUGAUCAAUAGUGAUUUAAGUGUUUUCACUUCUAAAUUUAAGUUAUUUUUCAGCCUGGAACAUGCUCAACUGAUAGCAAAAGUGUAAACAAAUAAGAAAUAUCGAAGACAAUCGAAAAUAUGGUUAAAACACAGAAAAAUCUGAAAGCAGCCGUCUUGAAUUCACAGCCAUUUCACUUUUAGAAAAAUACGUGCUUCUGGAAUAUUAAAGAUGCCAAGUAAAACUUUAAACUAUGAUUGGAGGCGAUUUGUAUUAAAAAGAUUUGAAAAAAUUGGAUGACCAUUAAUUUUGAAAGAUAAAACGGCGAAAAGAAACUUAUAACUUGGUAUCAAAUCUGAAGAAAAAAAAUAUAAAAAAUCAAUGUUUUAUAAAAAAUUACAUAAUUAUGUGAAGCACCCAGACGUAUUGUAAUAUAAACCAAGUCGACAUAGCUCCAACUCCGACGUCUUGACGACAUAACUCCGAGUA